rnacentral:rRNA from 1 species
UACGUAGGGACCGAGCGUUGUCCGGAAUUAUUGGGCGUAAAGAGCUCGUAGGCGGUCUGUUGCGUCCGCUGUGAAAACUCGGGGCUUAACCCCGAGCCUGCAGUGGAUACGGGCAGACUAGAGGUAGGUAGGGGAGAAUGGAAUUCCCGGUGUAGCGGUGAAAUGCGCAGAUAUCGGGAGGAACACCGGUGGCGAAGGCGGUUCUCUGGGCCUUACCUGACGCUGAGGAGCGAAAGCGUGGGGAGCGAACAGG